rnacentral:rRNA from 1 species
CCGCCCAGAGGUAAACGGAGUGGAUCCGCAUAGUCGGUCCGCGGAAUUCAGCGCGGCGCGCGGUCCGGGGCUGCCGCUGUUCGGGAUCCUUCUGGAACCGACAGUGGUGCCGUGCCGGGCCCCGCCGCGUGCACUUUCCGCGGACGGAGAGCCACAACCGGUUUGAUGAGCGGUGACGAGCCGGAAGGGUUGUCGGUGGGGGCGCUCGCGUCCCCACCAGCCCUCCCCGGCGAGCCGCCCGCAGACCGAGGAACCGCCGCGCGCUUCGAGGCCACCCUCCCUUCCGGGUGAGUUCGACAGGGAGAGACUGGGCAACCGUGUCUCCCGACCGCUCACUCGUGACCGGCGUGGGGCUGGCCGGGCGAGCAGGAAAAUCUUGGGUUGGUGGCAAGUCUGUCGGCACUCCACCCGACCCGUCUUGAAACACGGACCAAGGAGUCUAACAUGCGCGCGAGUCAUUGGGAUUUACGAAACCCAAAGGCGCAGUGAAAGCGAGGGUCUGUCAAAGGGCCCAGGUGGGAUCCUGUCACUCCCUCGGCGCCGAG